rnacentral:rRNA from 1 species
GAUGAACGCUGGCGGCGUGCCUAAUACAUGCAAGUCGAACGGACAGACCAUGAGCUUGCUCCGCUGACGUUAGCGGCGGGCGGGUGUGUAACGCGUGGAUCACCUACCUAUAUUACUGGUAUAAUUUCGAGAAUCCGGAUCUAAUACCAUAUAAUAUAUUGAACCGCGUUGGUCAAUGGUGAAUGUCGGUUUUUCUGUCUCGUAUAGAUGGAUCCGCGCCGCAUUAGCUGGUUGUUAAGGUCACGGCUUACCAAGGCUACGAUGCGUAGCCGACCUGAGGGGGUGAUAGGCCACACUGGAACGGAGACACGGUCCAGAGUACUACGGGAGGGAGCAGUAGGGAAUAUUCGGCAAUGGGGGGAAGAUUGACGGAGCAACGCCGAGUGAGUGAUGAAGGUCUUCGGAGCGUAAAAAUCUGUUAUUAGGGAAGAACAAAUGUGUCCGUAAAUAUGGACGUCUUGACGGUAACUAAUAAGAAAGCACCGGCUAACUACGUG